AGCAGCCGCGGUAAUUCCAGCUCCAAUAGCGUAUAUUAAAGUUGUUGCAGUUAAAAAGCUCGUAGUUGAAUUUCGGGGUUAGCAGGUCGGUCGUGCCAUCGGUAUGAACUGGUCUCGCUGAUCCCUCCCUCUUGACGAACUGUGAUGCCAUUAAUUUGGUGUCGCAGGGAAUCAGGACUGUUACUUUGAAAAAAUUAGAGUGUUUAAAGCAGGCUCACGCUUGAAUACAUUAGCAUGGAAUAAUGAAAUAGGACGUUUGAUCCUAUUUUGUUGGCUUCUAGGAUUGACGUAAUGAUUAAUAGGGAUAGUUGGGGGCAUUAGUAUUCAAUUGUCAGAGGUGAAAUUCUUGGAUUUAUUGAAGACUAACUACUGCGAAAGCAUUUGCCAAGGAUGUUUUCAUUAAUCAAGAACGAAAGUUAGGGGAUCGAAGACGAUCAGAUACCGUCGUAGUCUUAACCAUAAACUAUGCCGACUAGGGAUCGGAUGAUGUUAAUUUUUUAAUGUA
rnacentral:misc_RNA from 1 species